rnacentral:rRNA from 1 species
CCUACGGGUGGCAGCAGUGAGGAAUAUUGGUCAAUGGCCGGGAGGCUGAACCAGCCAAGUCGCGUGAGGGAAGACGGCCCUACGGGUUGUAAACCUCUUUUGUCAGGGAGCAAGGUGCAGGUCGGGACCUGCUGUGAGAGUACCUGAAGAAAAAGCAUCGGCUAACUCCGUGCCAGCAGCCGCGGUAAUACGGAGGAUGCGAGCGUUAUCCGGAUUUAUUGGGUUUAAAGGGUUCGCAGGCGGAGGCACAAGUCAGCGGUCAAAGCCCGGGGCUCAACCCCGCUCCGCGGUUGAAACUGUGACCCUUGAGUGCGAGAGGAGUAGGCGGAAGGCGUGGUGGAGCGGUGAAAUGCAUAGAGAUCGCGCAGAACGCCGAUCGCGAAGGCAGCCUACCGGCGCGAAACGGACGCUCAUGCACGAAAGCGUGGGUAUCGAACAGGAGUAGAUACCGCUGUAGUC